rnacentral:lncRNA from 1 species
CUACUGCAUAACCCUCUCCUCUAUGCACAAAAAUCUUCCCCUACCCCCACUACACAAAGACACACUCCCUCCCAGAAGUAUGUAAGGACACAGCCAUGCGUGUGAUUUUUUUCUCCUCUUUCUUCUUCCAGUGUCCUGAUGUCAAGGUGAAUGGGGUCAAUAGAGAGAGCAGCUGGUAGGAGCCAGUCUUUAGCUGAUUUCCUCCUCGAGUUGUGGGGGCUGCUGCCAAGUCAUUCGUCUCACCCUGUGUGUCUGUUAUAAUGUUGCAAAAGAAAACAGAAGUUUAUGUCCAUGCUGCAGAUAUAAAGGAUGAAGUUGUAGGGCAGGAAGUCUUAUGUAACUUGGAGCAGCUACUCAAUGGAAAUCACAAACAGAAUGAGUUUCAUCCACAUGUCAAGACACUACUACCAACAGAGCUAUUUCAGGACACCUACCUAAAUAACUAGCUGUCUCUUCCACUUAAAGCAAGAGAUAAUGUCUAAGGACAGAGAAUCUGCUUGGCCUCGCUAAGGGACAUGUCCACUUCUUGGCUGAAUGAGGACUUGACGGUGCACUUUGAUUAACAGCAAUCUUUGUACUACACAAAUGGAGUUGAGGCAACUCCCUCGAAGGGUACUGCUUUUGUCUGAAAUGGGAUGAAUGGGUGUUGUAGUUUUCUCUAAAAACCAAAGCUAUCAUAACCAUGCUUCUUAGACUUUAAUGUGCAUAUGAAUUUUCUGGGUUUCUUAUUAAAUUUCACACUCUGACUCAAUAGGUUGGGUCUGAAGCCAGAUUCUACAUUCCUGGAAAACACCCAGGUGAUGUUGCUGACAGGCUUGUGGCUCACCGUUUGAGUAGUAAGCCUUUAUAAUCGUGAGCACUGGGAAGAUAAUUAGUUUUACAUUUCUUAAUCCAUAUAUAUUUAUCUUUGUUUUAAUUGGGGUAUAAUUACAUAAAUUAAUGAAUAGAUAAAAUGAGUUGAACUUAAGUCCAAAAUUUAACUCGUCUAUAUGCACCCAUGUAAGGAACG